rnacentral:tRNA from 1 species
UUAAUUGAAGCCAAAAUAGAGGCCUUUCAUUGUUAAUGAAAAAAAUGAUUAAUUAAUCCAAUUAAA